ACUCCGGUGGUGUAAGAUGGAUCCGCGUCUGAUUAGCUGGUUGGCGGGGUAGAAGCCCACCAAGCCGACGAUCAGUAGCCGGCCUGAGAGGGUGAACGGCCACAUUGGGACUGAGACACGGCCCAAACUCCUACGGAGGGCAGCAGUGGGGAAUAUUGCACAAUGGGGGAAACCUGAUGCAGCAACGCCGCGUGAGUGAAGAAGUCAUUCGUGAUGUAAAGCUCUAUCAGCAGGGAAGAAAAUGACGGUACCUGAGUAAGAAGCCCCGGCUAACUACGUGCCAGCAGCCGCGGUAAUACGUAGGGGGCAAGCGUUAUCCGGAUUUACUGGGUGUAAAGGGAGCGUAGACGGCCAGACAAGUCUGAAGUGAAAAUCCAGCGCUUAACGUUGGAAGUGCUUUGGAAACUGCCGGGCUAGAGUGCAGGAGGGGCAGGCGGAAUUCCUAGUGUAGCGGUGAAAUGCGUAGAUAUUAGGAGGAACACCAGUGGCGAAGGCGGCCUGCUGGACUGCAACUGACGUUGAGGCUCGAAGGCGUGGGGAGCAAACAGGAUUAGAUACCCUGGUAGUCUACGCGGUAAACGAUGAUUACUAGGUGUCGGGGGGCUAGAGCCCUUCGGUG
rnacentral:rRNA from 1 species